GACGAACGCUGGCGGCGUGCUUAACACAUGCAAGUCGAACGGAAAGGCCCCUUUGGGGGUCCUCGAGUGGCGAACGGGUGAGUAACACGUGGGUAACCUGCCCUUGACUUCGGGAUAACUUCAGGAAACUGGGGCUAAUACCGGAUAGGAAUCCUUGCUGCAUGGUGGGGGUUGGAAAGCUUCGGCGGUUUUGGAUGGACUCGCGGCUUAUCAGCUUGUUGGUGGGGUAGUGGCUUACCAAGGCUUUGACGGGUAGCCGGCCUGAGAGGGCGACCGGCCACAUUGGGACUGAGAUACGGCCCAGACUCCGACGGGAGGCAGCAGUGGGGAAUAUUGCACAAUGGGCGGAAGCCUGAUGCAGCAACGCCGCGGGCGGGAUGACGGCCUUCGGGUUGUAAACCGCUUUCAGCAGGGGCGAAGCUUGUGGUGACGGUACCUGCAGAAGAAGCACCGGCUAACUACGUG
rnacentral:rRNA from 1 species